rnacentral:rRNA from 1 species
UACGUAGGGAGCAAGCGUUGUCCGGAAUCAUUGGGCGUAAAGCGCGCGUAGGUGGCCUCAUAAGUCCGCUGUGAAAGUCAAAGGCUCAACCUUUGAAAGCCGGUGGAUACUGUGAGGCUAGAGUACGGAAGAGGCGAGUGGAAUUCCUGGUGUAGCGGUGGAAUGCGCAGAUAUCAGGAGGAACACCAAUGGCGAAGGCAGCUCGCUGGAACGGUACUGACGCUGAGGCGCGAAAGCGUGGGGAGCAAACAGG